AUUGAACGCUGGCGGCAGGCCUAACACAUGCGAGUCGAACGGUAGCACAGAGAGCUUGCUCUCGGGUGACGAGUGGCGGACGGGUGAGUAACGUCUGGGAAACUGCCCGAUGGAGGGGGAUAACUACUGGAAACGGUAGCUAAUACCGCGUAACGUCGCAAGACCAAAGUGGGGGACCUUCGGGCCUCACACCAUCGGAUGUGCCCAGAUGGGAUUAGCUAGUAGGUGGGGUAAUGGCUCACCUAGGCGACGAUCCCUAGCUGGUCUGAGAGGAUGACCAGCCACACUGGAACUGAGACACGGUCCAGACUCCUACGGGAGGCAGCAGUGGGGAAUAUUGCACAAUGGGCGCAAGCCUGAUGCAGCCAUGCCGCGUGUAUGAAGAAGGCCUUCGGGUUGUAAAGUACUUUCAGCGGGGAGGAAGGCGGUGAAGUUAAUAGCUUCACCGAUUGACGUUACCCGCAGAAGAAGCACCGGCUAACUCCGUGCCAGCCGCCGCGGUAA
rnacentral:rRNA from 1 species